rnacentral:tRNA from 1 species
CCCGAUGGUGUAAUGGCAGCAUUGAAGCCUGUGGAGCUUUAGGUCGGGGUUCGAAUCCCUGUCCCGGCACCA